UACGGAAGGCAGCAGUGGGGAAUAUUGCACAAUGGGCGCAAGCCUGAUGCAGCCAUGCCGCGUGUAUGAAGAAGGCCUUCGGGUUGUAAAGUACUUUCAGUCGUGAGGAAGGUGUUAAGGUUAAUAACCUUAGCAAUUGACGUUAGCGACAGAAGAAGCACCGGCUAACUCCGUGCCAGCAGCCGCGGUAAUACGGAGGGUGCGAGCGUUAAUCGGAAUUACUGGGCGUAAAGGGCACGCAGGCGGUUAAUUAAGUUGGAUGUGAAAUCCCCGGGCUUAACCUGGGAAUGGCAUUCAAGACUGGUUAGCUAGAGUCUUGUAGAGGGGGUAGAAUUCCAUGUGUAGCGGUGAAAUGCGUAGAGAUGUGGAGGAAUCCGGUGGCGAAGGCGGCCCCUGGACAAAGGCUGACGCUCAUGUGCGAAAGCGUGGGGAGCAAACAGGGAUUACGAUACC
rnacentral:rRNA from 1 species